UUGAGGCGUGGCUUCCGGAGCUAACGCGUUAAAUCGACCGCCUGGGGAGUACGGCCGCAAGGUUAAAACUCAAAUGAAUUGACGGGGGCCCGCACAAGCGGUGGAGCAUGUGGUUUAAUUCGAUGCAACGCGAAGAACCUUACCUACUCUUGACAUCCAGAGAAUUCGCUAGAGAUAGCUUAGUGCCUUCGGGAACUCUGAGACAGGUGCUGCAUGGCUGUCGUCAGCUCGUGUUGUGAAAUGUUGGGUUAAGUCCCGCAACGAGCGCAACCCUUAUCCUUUGUUGCCAGCGAUUCGGUCGGGAACUCAAAGGAGACUGCCGGUGAUAAACCGGAGGAAGGUGGGGAUGACGUCAAGUCAUCAUGGCCCUUACGAGUAGGGCUACACACGUGCUACAAUGGCGUAUACAAAGAGAAGCGAACUCGCGAGAGCAAGCGGACCUCAUAAAGUACGUCGUAGUCCGGAUUGGAGUCUGCAACUCGACUCCAUGAAGUCGGAAUCGCUAGUAAUCGUAGAUCAGAAUGCUACGGUGAAUACGUUCCCGGGCCUUGCACUCCCCGCCCGUCAAAA
rnacentral:rRNA from 1 species